AGAGUUCGAUCCUGCCUUAGGAUGAACCCGGACGGCAUUCUUAGCAAAUGAAAGUCGUAUGGAAAACACGGGAAACAGUGUUUCCAGUGAUGAGCGGGGGAGUAAUGCGUAAUAACCUACCCCUGGGAGGGGAACAACAGUUGGAAAUGGCUGCUAAUACCCCGUAGGCUGAGGACAAAAAGGAGGAAUCCACCCGAGGAGGGGCUCGCAUCCGAUUAACUAGUUGGUGAGGCAAUAGCUUACCAAGGAGAUGAUCAGUAGCUGGUCCGAUAGGAUGAUCAGCCAUAUUGGGACUGAGACACGGUCCACACUCCUAUGGGAGAUAGUAGUGGGGAAUUUUUCAUAAUGGGCGAAAUCCUGAGGGAGCAAUACCGCGUAGAGGUAGAAGGCCCACGGGUCAUUAAAUUCUUUCCCCAGAGAAGAAGCAAUGACGGUAUUUGGGGAAUAACCAUUGGCUAACUCUAUGCCAGCAGCCGCGGUAAUAUAGGGGAUGUAAGCGUUAUUCGAAAUGAUUGGGCAGAAAGCGUCCGUAGGUUCCUUUUUAAGUUUGCCAUCAAAUCCUAGGGCUCAACCAUUGAAAGAUGGUCGGAACUACCAAGAUGGAGUAUGGUAGGGGAAAAUGGAAUUUUCAGUGAAGAGGUAAAAUGCAUAGAGAUCAGAAAGAACACCAACGACAAAAGCACUCUACUGGGCCGACACUGAUUUUGGGAUAUGAAAGCUAGGGGAGCGAAUGGGAUUAGAUAACCUAGUAGUCCUAGAUAUAAACGAUGGAUACUGGGCGCUAUGCGUAUCGGCCCGUGCCGUUCUGUAGCUAAUACGUUAACUAUCAUGCCUGGGGAGUACAUUUGCAAGAAUGAAACUCGAAGGAAUUGACGAUGGCCCGCAUAAGUGGUGGAGCAUGUGGUUUAAUUUGAUGUAAAGCAAAGGACCUUACCAAGGCUUUAUAUGUUGUGAAUUCUCUUGAAAAACAGGGGUUCCUUCGGGAACAUGGACACAGGUGGUGUAUGGCUAUCGUCAGCUCAUGACGUAAGGUUUUGGGUUAAGUCCCACAAUGAGUGCAACCCUCAUGUUUAGUUGCCAUCGUUGACUUUGGAACCCUGAAUAGACUGCCGGUGAUAAGUUAGAGGAAGGUAAGGAUGAUGUCAAUUCAUUAUGCCCCUUAUGCCCUGGGAGACACACAUGCUACAAUGACCAAGACAAAGGGUCGCAAUCCAGCGAGUGUGAGCUAACCCUAAAAACGAGUCCUCAGUUUGGAUUACAUGCUGUAACUCACCUGCAUGAAGAUGGAAUCGCUAGUAAUUGUCAGUCAGCCAUACGGCGGUGAAUUCAUUCCCGGGCCUUAUACACACCGCCCGUCACACUAUGGGAGCAGUCCAUGCCCAAAGUCAUUACCUUAACUUCAAGAAGGGUAAUGUCAAAGGCAGGGCUAGUGACUUGAGUAAAGUCAUAACAAGGUAUCCAUACUCGAAGGUAUGGCUA
rnacentral:rRNA from 1 species